GUCGAGCGGAAACGAGUUAUCUGAACCUUCGGGGAACGAUAACGGCGUCGAGCGGCGGACGGGUGAGUAAUGCCUAGGAAAUUGCCUUGAUGUGGGGGAUAACCAUUGGAAACGAUGGCUAAUACCGCAURAUGCCUACGGGCCAAAGAGGGGGACCUUCGGGCCUCUCGCGUCAAGAUAUGCCUAGGUGGGAUUAGCUAGUUGGUGAGGUAAUGGCUCACCAAGGCGACGAUCCCUAGCUGGUCUGAGAGGAUGAUCAGCCACACUGGAACUGAGACACGGUCCAGACUCCUACGGGAGGCAGCAGUGGGGAAUAUUGCACAAUGGGCGCAAGCCUGAUGCAGCCAUGCCGCGUGUAUGAAGAAGGCCUUCGGGUUGUAAAGUACUUUCAGCAGUGAGGAAGGGGGUGUCGUUAAUAGCGGCAUCUCUUGACGUUAGCUGCAGAAGAAGCACCGGCUAACUCCGUGCCAGCAGCCGCGGUAAUACGGAGGGUGCGAGCGUUAAUCGGAAUUACUGGGCGUAAAGCGCAUGCAGGUGGUUUGUUAAGUCAGAUGUGAAAGCCCGGGGCUCAACCUCGGAACUGCAUUUGAAACUGGCAAACUAGAGUACUGUAGAGGGGGGGUAGAAUUUCAGGUGUAGCGGUGAAAUGCGUAGAGAUCUGAAGGAAUACAAGUGGGCGAAGGCGGCCCCCUGGGACAGAUACUGACACUCAGA
rnacentral:rRNA from 1 species